rnacentral:rRNA from 1 species
ACUAUUAAGGUGUAGCCUUCACUGAGUGUACUUCACCAUGGGUUGUUAACAUAAACCAGAUGAUAAAAUUUAACAUUUAAGAAAUUAAGAUUAUGAUAACAUUCUUUAAUGAGGCUAAUAAAGUGCCAGCAGCCGCGGUCAUACUUUAGCUUACGUGAAGGAUAUACAGGGUAAUAAAUGUGAUUAAUAAAGCUUAUGGUGAAAUAUAAGCCACAAUUUAACUUUACACAUGUUCAAUACAAAAGCUGGUUACAAACAGGGAUUAGAUACCCCUUUAUGCAGCAAGUACACUAAAACCCUAGGCACUAUAGCCAUCAGGUCGAAACCUAACCAAUAUGGCGGUAGUUUAAAAAUUCAGGGGAACUUACUAAGUAAAUGAUAACCACCAAGAUAAUUGACUUUAUUUAACAUUUUACAUACCGUCGUCGACAGAUUUACUAUGAUAGUACAUCAACCAAUAAAAAUAAAAGGACAGAUCAAGGUGUAGACAAUGAUAAUGUUUUAGCGAGUUACUAUAAUAAAUCAAUUCACCCCUCAAUUAUAAUAUUGAUACCUGUAGGACUUGAAAGUAAUAUAUAUUAAGUAUAGUAUAUGAAUAUCCCUUAAACUGUG